AUUGAACGCUGGCGGCAGGCCUAACACAUGCAAGUCGAGCGAGCGGCGGACGGGUGAGUAAUGUAUGGGGACCUGCCCGAGAGAGGGGGAUAACUACUGGAAACGGUGGCUAAUACCGCAUACUAUCGGAUGUGCCCAGAUGGGAUUAGCUAGUUGGUGGGGUAAAGGCUCACCUAGGCGACGAUCUCUAGCUGGUCUGAGAGGAUGAACAGCCACACUGGAACUUAGACACGGUCCAGACUCCUACGGGAGGCAGCAGUGGGGAAUAUUGCACAAUGGGCGCAAGCCUGAUGCAGCCAUGCCGCGUGUAUGAAGAAGGCCUUCGGGUUGUAAAGUACUUUCAGCGGGGAGGCGUUACCCGCAGAAGAAGCACCGGCUAACUCCGUGCCAGCAGCCGCGGUAAUUC
rnacentral:rRNA from 1 species